AAUGCAGAGAUGUUCAAUAAAGAGGCAGGGCAUCAUGUUGAAGACUGCAAAUUGAAGGUUGUUUAUGUUGCUCCUCCUAGACCACCAUCAUCAGUUCGAGAAGGGUCAGAGGAAGGUUCUUCACCCAUUAGCUUCUGUGUCCGACAAUGGGAGCCUGAGCGCCUCUGUACAAACCAGUGUUAUUAAACCCCGUCCGAAAGAUGACCCGGCGAAUGGAUCCGGUGAAAGGCUUUUGACGGCUUUUCCCUCGGGAAUGCCCAGUAAUAUUGGGCCAACACAAUAUAGUUAUGAACAACUAUCAAAAGCAACUGGU
rnacentral:misc_RNA from 1 species